CUUUUCAGUGUCUUUCUCACCGACUCUACUUCAUCUAUAUCUCAUCGACUUCUUCUUUUCUAGAAUGCACUUCACCGAGUCUUCACAAAACAAUCGACUCUCUGAUCUUCUACCACCUCGCAGCUCCACUCAAGAAACGAUUACUUCCGAUGUCAUUGGUUAUUCUUGGCGGAAUCGAACCAUCGUCUUCACCGGAGAAGCGAGCCUACCAACGACGCAGACAACAUACAUCGGUGACACACUCACAUGAUAUUGGCAACAACAGUGGAUGCAUACAUCGAUUGACACUGACUUCUUUCUCUCCACUGGAAGCCUUCGAUGUCCUUUGCGGUCUCAGGCGCUCCCCUUUCUUGCACCUCCAGACGCUUCCGCUUUCUCCUAGCCUCCACCACCACCUGUCGUCUAAUUACAUCCACAUUUGAAACCAAACGUUUUUCCUGGCAACAUCGACUUGAAAUAGCAGCACCAGAUACAAAGUGAAUAUGCUCCAUUAAUUCCAUUUCAUGUCAAAUAAAACGAUAUUCUCAUUGCUCAACUAAAGAAUAUAAGAAUGAAGAAUAUUAUGAUACAUGACAUGCUCUUAGGUGUCUAAGGCCCUGUCAUGCUCUUUCAUGGUAAUACCAACACGUAUGACAACCUAAUACCCAUUCUGUAAAUCGAAAGUUUAUACAUCAGAAAGAUGUGGUUUUUUAGACACUCACAAACAUUGAUUUGUUGCUUAAUUUUUCAAUUCCUAUUUUCAUUCUUACGAUUUUGACAUAUGUUAUUUGUUUAUGUGGUGUUUGUUAUAACAAUUUGCCAGAUUUUUUUUUAUAGUUCACCAUCUUGAUUGAGAUUUACAUUUGAGGGAUUGUUGGGGCCUUCGUGCUGGAGAAGUAUCCACAUUUAUUCUUGCAUCUGCUAGCCCGCCAAGUGUUUGCUAAAAUGCUUGAAUGUUUGUCAUACACUUGAGAAUUUUGAGAUGUCUCGGAUACAAGAUCCAAAGAUUUGCGACAAUUCAAUCAAGAAUUCACAGAGGAUACAAAUUUUUAAAUUUUGUAGAAUUAAAGAAGUCAAGAGGCAUACUACAAAUCUUUUGAACAAUGAAGACUAAGAAAGAGUUGAAAUGGUCCUUAAAUACAUUGAGGAUGGAGACUUUCGAAGUGGGACGUUGCCAGAUACAAAGCCACGUAUGUAUUCCAAUAUUUGUGUAAGUGGCAAAUCAAGGUCCUCAUUUUUAUGUAUUAUGAAGUUAAGUAUAAUAGCAACUUACUUUCAUUUGGUUGUCUAUUGAAGCAUCAUGCAUUUAUGUCUUCC